UAGUUGUAGUUUUUGGUAUCGCCCAACAGGAUUUGUAUUGGUGAAUUUGCUUCUGUAGUUUUGAAAUGACUUUCAAUGUGAAAAGAAAUCGUAAUAAAUACAAUCCGGUGUUUGAAUGACAGCAAGCUGCCUAGCUCCCACUUCCAGUUAUGCCCAGAAAACAGGAUGAUAAACUACAGAUGCAGUUGGUAGCGUCCAGGGUCUCUCAAUGGAGCAAUUCUGUGAGUAGGAGGAAGAACCCAGUCUUAGAACAUUGCCAUGUUCCAGCUUUGUUCUCGCCAGGAACAAAACGGCGUGUCUCGGACACUGGUGCACAUGAGGACACUUCCAGGACCAAGGUGCCCUGAUAAACCUUGUUAUGAAUUCCUAGAUUUCCAUCACCUGUGUCCUAAAAGCAGCUGUAGCUUCUGUGAGUGCUAGCAUGCAGCAGAAGACCUGUUCACGCUCUGCUGAAGUCUGCAGGUGAGUACGAACUGGGCCAGUACAACCAUGCCUAUGGCUACGUGUGACAGUGCCAUCAAGUCCAAGUAGAUGGCUGUGGAUGGAAAUGACGAGGCGCGUGGCUGCUGUGACACAGAUUGCAGCACAAAGAAAGAAAGAGACCUGGAAGGUACUGGAAGGCCCCCAAAUGGCGUGAUGGGGUUUAUUGGCAAACAAAUCCUGUGCCUCAUCCAGAAGCGGAGCUGGAAAUUGAUGCUGUUUUGGGCCCCGUUUCUAUUGAGUCUUGGGUGGAUCCUCAAGCCUUAGUGCCUGAGAUGCAGGUGCCUCUUAAAGCAGAGGACCAGUCUUCAGGUGUGUUGUGCUGAAUGCCUGCACUAAGACAAUCCAUGGCAAGGGAGGGAAUCCUGUCCACAAAGGGCCGGUGUGUAUGCGGGUAUUCGCUGCAGCUUCCUAAUUAGAUUACUAAUUAGAGGACUGAUUGGCUGAAGAGUCCUCGCACCUGGGUUUGAACAGCUGACCUAAAAGUUAUCCCAAAAACUUUGGUUCUACUGUAGUUAUUGUUUGCUUGUAUUUUCUGCAAUAGUUGUGACUUGGUUCCAACUUUGACCUUUAAACACUCAGCUGUCUGCUAAUAUCAUUGGUGCCACAGUGUAAACAAAUGUUAGAAUUUGUGAUGCCUUUAAAAUUAGCAUUUUGAUCUCCAUUUUGCCCAAUUCUGCAGUUAAUCUAUUAAUCUCUAGUUAAAGUACAGUGUAGGUCCUCAGUUAUCAGUCUGAAGUGUUUCACAAUGCGGUGUUCUGCCACUAGGUGGUGCCCUUGGAUUUUAUGUAUCUGUGUCAACUUAAGUUUGUGAAACUUAAGCUGUAAUUAGACUGUCGCUUGCGCUAGAUAAUGCACCAGGACAGGCUUGUGAGCCCCCAUAAUAUGCCUGGUCGAGUUAACUAUAGUUUACCGCUACCAAAUGUCCACCCUGAAAUGUCCACCCUAAGAUGGGAUGUUUGAAGAUGCCACACCAGAUACAGGAUGUUUUAGUAUGUUUAUCCAGUGAUUCCAUUUACAUUACAAUCUAUAUUAUAAUGAUCUAUAUCAUUGAAUUAUCUACAGUAUACUGCAAUAAUAUCUGUAAGAAAUACGUAACAUAUAAUUGAUUUUCAGUUGUUCUAUUUUGAACUUGUAAAACUUUAUUCAGUAAUAUAAUGUGAAUGGCAGUUAAUGUUUCUUUUGUUUUUCCAAUUAACUUUAGCGAUCCAUACCUUCUAUUUCAAUGGAAUUCUGCCUAUACUGCGCAUAAUUUUCAAUCAAUAAGGUAAUGCCUAAAAAUACUUUUUGACUCAUAUGUGUAAAUCCAGAUUCAUCCAGAAUGCUACGGGGGUGACUGUAGAUCUUAAUUAUUUCAUAUUUCAUAUCCUUUACGACAACACCUGACUUGCUGAAUAAAGCACAGAUGUUUGCGUGAGAA